rnacentral:rRNA from 1 species
CCUACGGGGGGCAGCAGUGAGGAAUAUUGGUCAAUGGGCGCGAGCCUGAACCAGCCAAGUCGCGUGAGGGAAGACGGUCCUAUGGAUUGUAAACCUCUUUUGUCGGGGAGCAAAAGACGCCACGCGUGGCGUUCCGAGAGUACCCGAAGAAAAAGCAUCGGCUAACUCCGUGCCAGCAGCCGCGGUAAUACGGAGGAUGCGAGCGUUAUCCGGAUUUAUUGGGUUUAAAGGGUGCGCAGGCGGAAGAUCAAGUCAGCGGGAAAAUUGAGAGGCUCAACCUCUUCGAGCCGUUGAAACUGGUUUUCUUGAGUGAGUGAGAAGUAUGCGGAAUGCGUGGUGUAGCGGUGAAAUGCAUAGAUAUCACGCAGAACUCCGAUUGCGAAGGCAGCAUACCGGCGCUCAACUGACGCUCAUGCACGAAAGUGUGGGUAUCGAACAGGAUUAGAUAUCCGAGUAGUC